GCAGCAGUAGUUUAGUGGGCAGAACUAUUACAUUACUAUUGAAUGGACCUGGGUUCGAGACCCACCUCUUGCU
rnacentral:tRNA from 1 species